UACGUAGGGGGCAAGCGUUGUCCGGAAUCAUUGGGCGUAAAGCGCGUGUAGGCGGUUCGAUUAGUCUGCUGUGAAAGUCGGGGGGCUCAACCCUCGAAUGCCGGUGGAUACUGUCGGGCUAGAGUGCGGAAGAGGCGAGUGGAAUUCCUGGUGUAGCGGUGAAAUGCGCAGAUAUCAGGAAGAACACCAAUGGCGAAAGCAGCUCUCUGGGGACGGUACUGACGCUGAGACGCGAAAAGCGUGGGGAGCGAACAGGAUUAGAAACC
rnacentral:rRNA from 1 species